UCCGAAUUGGUGUAGUGGCCAACAUUUGACGCUCUCAUUCUAACACAAUGUAGAAAUCCGUCAAGCCCGGGGUUCGAUUCCCCGAUUCGGAG
rnacentral:tRNA from 1 species